UACGUAGGGUCCGAGCGUUUGUCCGGAAUUAUUGGGCGUAAAGAGCUCGUAGGCGGUUUGUCGCGUCUGCUGUGAAAUCCCGAGGCUCAACCUCGGGUCUGCAGUGGGUACGGGCAGACUGGAGUGCGGUAGGGGAGAAUGGAAUUCCUGGUGUAGCGGUGGAAUGCGCAGAUAUCAGGAGGAACACCGGUGGCGAAGGCGGGUCUCUGGGCCGUAACUGACGCUGAGGAGCGAAAGCAUGGGGAGCGAACAGG
rnacentral:rRNA from 1 species